AUUGCGCUAGGCACUUCCAGUGAUGAUAAUUCCAUGUAUUUAUAAGGCACACACCACUCAGUACCUGCUGUUACUAAGGCGGUACGUGUUUUAUUCAUCUCUCUGCUGCUUCUCGACAAGAAUAGAACGGUCUCUUUUAAAGAUGCCCCUCCGGGCAGUGGCACAUGGACAGUGCCUGCUGGAUCACUUCGAGCUGCCGCUUUCUCUGCAGGACCCAGAAGCUGUGUGCAAACCAAGAGCUCGACAAGGGGUAUGUCUACACUACCCGCCGGAUCAGUGGGCAGCAAUCGAUCCAGCAGGGAUUGAUAGACACGAUAAAUCAACCCCCGAGCCCUCUCCCGUCGACUCCUGUACUCCAGCGCUGCGAGAGGCACAAGCAGAGUCGAUGGAGGAGCGGCAGUAGUCGACUCAUCGCGGCGAAGACACCACGGGAGCAGGUCUGGGGCUGUUACCUUUGGACUUUCCAGAUAACACCGUCGUGAGGCUGCCCAAGGGGGCCAACUCUAAGGCAAAACAGAGAGGAUGGAUGCUAAUCCCAAUCAAGGAAACGAUGCAGGGGUGUUGCAAGGAGUGGAGCAUGCUGGCUUCCUGACGGAACUCUGAGAAGUUCUUCAUGGCGUCCAUAGCUCGCAAGUGCUUCAGCAUGGACUCGCUAUCAGUCCCAGUGAAGGGAGCACCUCAGAGAAGACCAGCUUUCAGAAGAGUGAUCUCAGCUAAAUUAGAAAAGCAGAGUGGAUAUAGGACAGCUCGCAGCACUAUUUUCUGAUGAAGAUCUCAGAUCAAUACAUGCCAACACUUAUCUCUAAAGCAGCAUGUGGUGACCUGGAAUACAGCACAUCGUUUUAUAAUCAAAAUCUAUUUGUGGAUUACAAACAUCACUUGGGGAGACUGUGGGCCUGAUUCUGAUUUCCCUUAUGGUGUAAAUCAGGAGUAAUGCCAUUAAAGUCAAUAGAGUUACACUACUAUAAAACUAGCACAAAGGGCUCAGACACACUGAUUUAACUUACCUAAGCAGUAUGGACCUGACGCUGCUUCCACUAAAUUCAAUGGAGGAUCUGGUCACUGACUUCUGCAGGAGCAAGUUUGGACCCUGAUUGCACCAUAACAUCUAAUUUGUGUUUGCUUUUAGGAUUUUGAGGGAUUGGUCGCUCUGGAUACAAUGCUCACACCACGUGGUAUCAGUAAAGAUUUGUAUUAUAUUGCAUUGAAUCUGCUGUUGCCUCUAGAUUGUAAAAUCCUUGGAGCAGGGACCUAUUCUGAGGGUUUUUAGCACUCUACAUCUAUUGCGUAACAUUGGGCACACUGACAGCACCAUCAAGGAAUAAUUUCCAAAAAAGAGUGUUGAGAUAUAACAAGAAAGAUGUGGAGAAAUUGGAAAGGGUCCAGAGAAGAACAACAAGAAUGAUUAAAGGUCUUGAGAACAUGACCUAUGAAGGAAGGUUGAAAG